CAAAUUCCCAUUAAAAUAUAUCACAUUUAUAAAUUUUGCUACAUUGGUGAAAAAUGAGGAAAAUUUUACAUUUUUUCAAACAGGGUAAGGAACUUGGUUCCGCGAAUAACUUCUGGCACAGACAUCUGAGGGCAUGGCCGUCCAAGAAGAAAAUGUAGCCAUUGGUGCCAUCUAUCGACCACAAGUUAAAGAUUGGCGAUCCGUUGGAUACCGACCGAGUUAUAGGUAAAACUUGGUGCAAAAAUUAGGAAAAUUUUACAUUUUCUCAAACAGGGUAAGGAACUUGGUUCCUCGAAUAACUUCUGGCACAGACAUCUGAGGGCAUGGCCGUCCAAGAAGAAAAUGUAGCCAUUGGUGUCAUCUAUUGACCACAAGUUAAAGAUUGGCGAUUUGUUGGAUACCGACCGAGUUAUAGGUAAAAGUUGGUGCAAAAAUUAGGAAAAUUUUACAUUUUCUCAAACAGGGUAAGGAACUUGUUUCCUCGAAUAACUUCUGGCACAGACAUCUGAGGGCAUGGCCGUCCAAGAAGAAAAUGUAGCCAUUGGUGCCAUCUAUCGACCACAAGUUAAAGAUUGGCGAUCCGUUGGAUACCGACCGAGUUAUAGGUAAAAGUUGGUGCAAAAAUGAGGAAAAUUUUACAUUUUCUCAAACAGGGUAAGGAACUUGGUUCCUCGAAUAACUUCUGGCACAGACAUCUGAGGGCAUGGCCGU